GACGAACGCUGGCGGCGUGCUUAACACAUGCCAGUCGAACGGAAAGGCCCUGCUUUUGUGGGGUGCUCGAGUGGCGAACGGGUGAGUAACACGUGAGUAACCUGCCCUUGACUUUGGGAUAACUUCAGGAAACUGGGGCUAAUACCGGAUAGGAGCUCCUGCUGCAUGGUGGGGGUUGGAAAGUUUCGGCGGUUGGGGAUGGACUCGCGGCUUAUCAGCUUGUUGGUGGGGUAGUGGCUUACCAAGGCUUUGACGGGUAGCCGGCCUGAGAGGGUGACCGGCCACAUUGGGACUGAGAUACGGCCCAGACUCCUACGGGAGGCAGCAGUGGGGAAUAUUGCACAAUGGGCGGAAGCCUGAUGCAGCAACGCCGCGUGCGGGAUGACGGCCUUCGGGUUGUAAACCGCUUUCGCCUGUGACGAAGCGUGAGUGACGGUAAUGGGUAAAGAAGCACCGGCGAACUACGU
rnacentral:rRNA from 1 species